rnacentral:rRNA from 1 species
CCAAUAGCGUAUAUUAAAGUUGUUGCAGUUAAAAAGCUCGUAGUUGAAUUUCGGGAUCAAUAUGUCGGUCGUGCCUUCGGUACGUACUGGCGUCAUUGAUUUCUCCCUUCUGACGAACCACGAUGUCAUUAAUUUGGUGUCAUGGGGAGUCAGGACUGUUACUUUGAAAAAAUUGGAGUGUUUAAAGCAGGCUCACGCUUGAAUACAUUAGCAUGGAAUAAUGAAAUAGGACGUUUGACCCUAUUUUGUUGGUUUCUAGGAUCAACGUAAUGAUUAAUAGGGAUAGUUGGGGGCAUUAGUAUUCAAUUGUCAGAGGUGAAAUUCUUGGAUUUAUUGAAGACUAACUACUGCGAAAGCAUUUGCCAAGGAUGUUUUCAUUAAUCAAGAACGAAAGUUAGGGGAUCGAAGACGAUCAGAUACCGUCGUAGUCUUAACCAUAAACUAUGCCGACUAGGGAUCGGAUGAUGUUAAUUUUUUAAUGACUCAUUCGGCGCCUUACG